GUGUCAGCCGCCGCGGUACUACCGGCAGCCCGAGUGAUGGCCGAUAUUAUUGGGCCUAAAGCGUCCGUAGCUGGCCGAACAAGUCCGUCGGGAAAUCCACGUGCUUAACACGUGGGCGACCGGCGGAAACUGCACAGCUUGGGACCGGAAGGCUCGAAGGGUACGUUCGGGGUAGGAGUGAAAUCCCGUAAUCCCGGGCGGACUACCGAUGGCGAAAGCACUCUGAGAAGACGGCUUCGACAGUGAGGGACGAAAGCUCGGGUCUCAAACCGGAUUAGAAACCCUUGUAGUCC
rnacentral:rRNA from 1 species